rnacentral:lncRNA from 1 species
GCAUUGUAUUUCACCGACCAAUUUUGUAUACCGUGUGUUGGCAGCCAAUUGUAUAAUCAAUAGAUGAUUUUCGUCCUCUGCAUUAAAAUCUCGUUUUUCUCAAAUUUGCCGCUGGGUGUAACCCACUGCAUUCUAUUCAUCAUCUGCAACACACACACAGAUAGAGAGAGAGGCUAAUGGCACCACCAGAAAGAGGCCAGGACCUAUCCGCAUCGCCAAAUUUUGUAUAACAUGUGGAGGCAGCAAAUUUCACGAUGUUCAUCACCUGCAUGCAGAUCUCGCUUUUCUGAUAUUUGCCCUGGAUCUAACUUGUUAUCAUUUCAACACACGCAAAUAGAGAGAGAGGGUGGCUAAUAGCACCAGGACGAAGAGGCCAAGGCCUAUCCGCAACGAACUGGUGGAAUUAGAUUUAGUCUAGAGAUGUGAUUUGCUGCCGGAUCUAACACGUCG